UACGGAGGGUGCGAGCGUUGUCCGGAAUCACUGGGCGUAAAGGGCGCGUAGGCGGCUCGGUAAGUAGGGGGUGAAAUCCUGCGGCUUAACCGCAGGGCUGCCUUCUAAACUGUCGAGCUUGAGCACGGUAGAGGCAGAUGGAAUUCCCGGUGUAGCGGUGGAAUGCGUAGAGAUCGGGAAGAACAUCAGUGGCGAAGGCGGUCUGCUGGGCCGUUGCUGACGCUGAGGCGCGACAGCGUGGGGAGCAAACAGG
rnacentral:rRNA from 1 species